GUCCCAUGUUACAGUUCCAAGGCCUACUCCAAGAAGAGAUGGAUUUAGACAGCAAAAGAGCUGUAGGACCUGGCUCGCCAGACACCACAACUGCCGGCACCUUGAUCUUGGACUUACCGACUCCACAACUGGUCUUUCCCAGUGGGAAUUCUAUGAUGUUGAGGAAGAUCAGAACAGUGGUGGAAAGCCUUCCCAUAUUGCUUGCAUUCAUAAGGGACUCGGACGGGACCCUUCUAGUCAUUGUCUCAAAGGUGCUCCAUCCUGCUGACCUGGGCCAUUACCUACAGUGCCACUGCCCUCUUUAAUCAUCCUUCACUCACCUGGCACAGGCUUCCUGUCACAUCUCUUUCUGCCAACCAGGGUUCCUUCCCUUGUUCCAGUAAGGAGAUGACAUUUGGCUUG
rnacentral:lncRNA from 1 species